UAGGGAAUCUUCGGCAAUGGGGGGCAACCCUGACCGAGCAACGCCGCGUGAGUGAAGAAGGUUUUCGGAUCGUAAAGCUCUGUUGUAAGAGAAGAACGUGUGUGAGAGUGGAAAGUUCAACACAGUGACGGUAACUUACCAGAAAGGGACGGCUAACUACGUGCCAG
rnacentral:rRNA from 1 species